rnacentral:tRNA from 1 species
UUUAAUAUGGCAGAACUAAGUGCAAUGAAUUUAAGAUUCAUAUAUAAAAUAUAUUUUUAUUAAAA